rnacentral:rRNA from 1 species
AUUGAACGCUGGCGGCAUGCUUUACACAUGCGAGUCGAGCGGCAGCGCGGGGGCAACCCUGGCGGCGAGCGGCGAACGGGUGAGUAAUGCAUCGGAACGUACCCUGGAGUGGGGGAUAACGCCGCGAAAGCGGCGCUAAUACCGCAUAUGCUCUGAGGAGGAAAGUGGGGGGACCGCAAGGCCUCACGCUCUGGGAGCGGCCGAUGUCCGAUUAGCUAGUUGGUGGGGUAAAGGCUUACCAAGGCGACGAUCGGUAGCUGGUCUGAGAGGAUGAUCAGCCACACUGGGACUGAGACACGGCCCAGACUCCUACGGGAGGCAGCAGUGGGGAAUUUUGGACAAUGGGGGCAACCCUGAUCCAGCCAUGCCGCGUGAGUGAAGAAGGCCUUCGGGUU